UAGAGCCAUCAGGUACCUCCAA
rnacentral:siRNA from 1 species